CCUACGGGGGGCAGCAGUGGGGGAUAUUGCACAAUGGGGGAAACCCUGAUGCAGCGACGCCGCGUGGGUGAAGAAGCGCCUCGGCGCGUAAAGCCCUGUCAGCAGGGAAGAAAAUGACGGUACCUGAAGAAGAAGCCCCGGCUAACUACGUGCCAGCAGCCGCGGUAAUACGUAGGGGGCAAGCGUUAUCCGGAUUUACUGGGUGUAAAGGGGGCGCAGACGGCGAUGCAAGCCAGGAGUGAAAGCCCGGGGCCCAACCCCGGGACUGCCCUUGGAACUGCGUGGCUAGAGUGCAGGAGGGGCAGGCGGAAUUCCGGGUGUAGCGGUGAAAUGCGUAGAUAUCAGGAGGAACACCGGUUGCGAAGGCGGCCUGCUGGACUGCAACUGACGUUGAGGCCCGAAAGCGUGGGGAGCAAACAGGAUUAGAUACCCCAGUAGUC
rnacentral:rRNA from 1 species